rnacentral:rRNA from 1 species
UGGGGAAUCUUGGACAAUGGGCGCAAGCCUGAUCCAGCCAUGCCGCGUGCAGGAUGACGGUCCUAUGGAUUGUAAACUGCUUUUUGUACAGGAAGAAACAGUUCUACGUGUAGAACCUUGACGGUACUGUAAGAAUAAGGAUCGGCUAACUCCGUGCCAGCAGCCGCGGUAAUACGGAGGAUCCAAGCGUUAUCCGGAAUCAUUGGGUUUAAAGGGUCCGUAGGCGGUUAGAUAAGUCAGUGGUGAAAGCCCAUCGCUCAACGGUGGAACGGCCAUUGAUACUGUCUGACUUGAAUUAUUAGGAAGUAACUAGAAUAUGUAGUGUAGCGGUGAAAUGCUUAGAGAUUACAUGGAAUACCAAUUGCGAAGGCAGGUUACUACUAAUGGAUUGACGCUGAUGGACGAAAGCGUGGGUAGCGAACAGGAUUAGAUACCCAAGUAGUCCCUGAGCGGGCUGGCAAGGCGCAU